rnacentral:lncRNA from 1 species
GCGUUGAACGAAUUUCGGCCAAAGUUCAAGAUGCCGUGGGCUCUGAUGAGCCUAUUACCUUGACGGACACCCAAGGAAACAAAAUAAUGGACUCUGAGGGCACAAGAAGUUCCUAGUUCUGGAAACAGAACUCAAGAAAAAUAUAUGCUGUGCCUGAAAGUGACUUUGUGGAGUUUCAGAAUGGGAGAAGAGCUAAAACAAGUCGAAGGGAUGGAGAUUCAAGCCUGCAGGAGGUCCUUGGACGUGUUGACCAGCUGAAGCAAGCCGCCGGGAGUCUCCAAGAGGUCACUAAUUCAAUCAACCAGCUGUCUCAGCUGGCCAAGUCUCAAAAGGAGGAGAUCAUGGCAAAUGUCGGUUUGCAGCCCUUAAAGGAAGCCUUUGCAUGUCUUGUGUGUAAAGCUGUAAUGGCAGAUCCCAUGUUCGCCACAUGCUGUGAAUCGAUAAUUGGAUGUCGUACCUGUGUGGAGCUGUGGUUAGUCACAUCAGACCACUGCUUGAAAUGCAGGGCAGGAGACUUUGAAAAUAAAAUAC